CCACCGGACCGCCGCCGGAGAGCUCGCUCGCCACCGCCUCGGAGGCCCCCGCGCCGCCGCCUUGAGGCCCGCCGUGCCGCCGAUUUGAGGGCUCCGCGCUGCCGCCGGGAGGUCUCGUGCGCCACGGUCUCUACCGCCCCCGAUUUGACGGAUCCUGCCGCCGCCGGGAGGUCCCCCCGCCCCCACCCCCGCGCGGCGCCCCACCUUCCCCGCCGCCGGGCUGUCGGGGCCCGCUCCGCCGCCAGGGACCCGCGCCGUCUCUCCUUCCCGGCAGGCUCCCGCGCCGCGUCUCCUUCCUCGACACCGGCAGGCUAUCGCGCCGCCCCUCCUUCCCCGAUGCCGGCAGGCUCCCGUGCCGCCCCUACUUCCCCGACGCCGGCAGGAUCGCGUGCUGCCCCUCCUUCACCGCCAUCGGGAGAAGUACAAGGCGCAGGGCCGACAAGUACAUAAAAAUGUUAAAGUAAAGUACAAUCCGAUUGGCUGUGUUCUGACUAUUUCUGUAUUUGCCGCCUGUUUGUUCUAAUGCCUGGACAGAACUCUACUUUAACAUGCCCCCUUUGUUUUUUGCUUGCUGGUCCAGGAGAACCAAAUAACUGGCAUGGUACACUGGUGUAUUUAAUUUCACAAGUUGGUUUACUUUAAUAUACACUGAGUUGUGCGGAAAUCCCCAAAUAUCUUGAGUGCCCUAUACCUGUGCUCUGUAGGUAUUUGAUUUUAUGCGUCCAAAGAGCUGUUUUCUAUCUUCUUUUUUGUGCUGACAGUGUUGUAGUCUUGCACAAUGUGCAUUGUAUUUUCUUUUCCCUUGCCACUCAGUUGGGAAGUAUAAAUCUACUAAGUACACAUAAUAGUUUUAGUAAGUUCACAACCCGUCAGGAUGAAUAACUAGCAGUAGCAACCAGUCAGGGAAGUUGUCUUUUCUUUGUUCUUAGCAGUACACAUAAUAUUGGAAGAUCUAACAUCAGCAGCAACUAGCAAGGUACUUACUGUUGUCUAUUUUUAUCUUUUUCCCACUGUUUAUAAAUAGCACAAGUAGGAUGUAACUGUAAGCAAAAUGUAUUCCUGUAAAAGGCAUGUAAGGCAACCUGACACAACAUUGUUGUUUUUGUUUGGAGAAAAAUGCUAGAAAUGAUUUAGAUUAUAGUAUUAUACACUAUUCUCUAGCAGUUAUUAUGCCCGCUUUGUUAUUUCAGAUUUAGUGACUUCGUGUCAGAUUUUGGAUGAUGGCGAGUUCUCUGCAUAGCUCUAGGAAAUAUCAGGUUUUGUUAAUGCUUUACUGGUUGGGUACUUCUUUCUAUAAAAAAAUGUUGUAACCAUGUGUGACAGCUCAACUUAGGUUUUCUAUAUAUUUAGCCUGAAAGUUUGUAGGGAGAAAAACAUGAAUAAACUGUACAUGAACCCUCUGCUUAUAGGAGAACCUCCAUGCUCAUUUACUUCAUAUAAUUCUGUUUUAACAGUGAAGUUGUUCUAAUGUGAACGGGUAUAAGUUCAGGAUGAGCCAACAGUUCAACAUUUGUUCUAAUGUGGCCAUCGCCAAGAAAUUGGACGCGGCCAUUUCGAUGUUGCUCCAGGAAGAGGGCCUCCGCACCUUCGCGUCAACCACCAUGGGCAAGGACGGUGGGGGUGAUGCUGCCAUGGAUCCUCCUGCAGUUGGGAAGUGCGAGCGAAUAUUUUCAGCAGUACAACUCUUCGAUGUUGAAAGUCCAAUCGAUGAUUUUUGAAAGCUGAAAUUUUCUAGACGCAGUUAGUUACGAUAGGAAAUACAGAGGUUUGGAGUGUAUAUGAAGACAUCAGGCUAGCAUCAUUUGAACCACGAAUGCAAGUUGCGCCACUGAGACUGUCUAAGUUUUACUGUGUAUAUAAAGACCUUAGGAUAGCAAGUUAUGUUUUCCUAACUGUUUAAUACCAAGAUUAGAAGAGGUGUUAGUAAAGA